AGCGUAACAAGGUUUCCGUAGGUGAACCUGCGGAAGGAUCAUUACCGAGUUGAUUCGAGCUCCGGCUCGACUCUCCCACCCAAUGUGUACCUACCUCUGUUGCUUUGGCGGGCCGCGGUCCUCCGCACCGGCGCCCUUCGGGGGGCUGGCCAGCGCCCGCCAGAGGACCAUAAAACUCCAGUCAGUGAACUUCGCAGUCUGAAAAACAAGUUAAUAAACUAAAACUUUCAACAACGGAUCUCUUGGUUCUGGCAUCGAUGAAGAACGCAGCGAAAUGCGAUAAGUAAUGUGAAUUGCAGAAUUCAGUGAAUCAUCGAAUCUUUGAACGCACAUUGCGCCCCUUGGUAUUCCGAGGGGCAUGCCUGUUCGAGCGUCAUUUCAACCCUCAAGCUCUGCUUGGUAUUGGGCCCCGUCCUCCACGGACGCGCCUUAAAGACCUCGGCGGUGGCGUCUUGCCUCAAGCGUAGUAGAAAACACCUCGCUUUGGAGCGCACGGCGUCGCCCGCCGGACGAACCUUUGAAUUAUUUCUCAAGGUGACCUCGAUCAGUAGGUACGGUUCCACA
rnacentral:rRNA from 1 species